rnacentral:rRNA from 1 species
GACAGAGGGUGCAAACGUUGUUCGGAAUUACUGGGCGUAAAGCGAGUGUAGGCGGUUCGGUAAGUCGGAUGUGAAAGCCCCGGGCUCAACCCGGGAAGUGCACUCGAUACUGCCGAGCUAGAGUAUCGGAGAGGUUGGUGGAAUUCUCGGUGUAGAGGUGAAAUUCGUAGAUAUCGAGAGGAACACCCGGUGGCGAAGGCGGCCAACUGGACGAAUACUGACGCUGAGACUCGAAAGCGUGGGGAGCAAACAGG